GGCAGGACAACACAUGGGCGAAUGAAUUAGCCGGCGCGAUUCGCCCUUAGAGUUUGAUCCUGGCUCAGGAUGAACGCUAGCGACAGGCUUAACACAUGCAAGUCGAGGGGCAGCGAGGGCGUAGCAAUACGCCUGUCGGCGACCGGCGCACUGGUGAGUAACACGUAUGCGACCUGCCCCCUACAGGGGUAUAACCCGUAGAAAUGCGGACUAAUCCCCCAUAGUCCCGCGGGCUGCAUGGCCUGCGGGGGAAAGGGUUUCCGGUAGGGGAUGGGCAUGCGGCGCAUCAGCUAGUUGGCGGGGCAACGGCCCACCAAGGCGACGAUGCGUAGGGGUUCUGAGAGGAAGGUCCCCCACACUGGUACUGAGACACGGACCAGACUCCUACGGGAGGCAGCAGUGAGGAAUAUUGGUCAAUGGGCGCAGGCCUGAACCAGCCAAGUCGCGUGAGGGAUGACGGUCCUACGGAUUGUAAACCUCUUUUGUCGGGGAGUAACGUGCGGGACGCGUCCCGUAUUGAGAGUACCCGAAGAAAAAGCAUCGGCUAACUCCGUGCCAGCAGCCGCGGUAAUACGGAGGAUGCGAGCGUUAUCCGGAUUUAUUGGGUUUAAAGGGUGCGCAGGCGGCGCGCCAAGUCAGCGGUCAAAGUUCCGGGCUCAACCCGGUGUCGCCGUUGAAACUGGCGUGCUCGAGUGCGUGCGAGGAAGGCGGAAUGCGUUGUGUAGCGGUGAAAUGCAUAGAUAUGACGCAGAACUCGCGAUUGCGAAGGCAGCUUUCCAGCGCGCUACUGACGCUGAGGCACGAAAGCGUGGGGAUCGAACAGGAUUAGGUACCCUGGUAGUCCACGCAGUAGACGAUGACUACUAGCUUUCCGGGGCGACUGGGCCCUGGGAGGCACAGCGAAAGCGUUAAGUAGUCCACCUGGGGAGUACGCCGGCAACGGUGAAACUCAAAGGAAUUGACGGGGGCCCGCACAAGCGGAGGAACAUGUGGUUUAAUUCGAUGAUACGCGAGGAACCUUACCCGGGCUCAAACGACAGCGGACAGCGCCUGAAAGGGCGUAUCCGGCAACGGCCGCUGUCGAGGUGCUGCAUGGUUGUCGUCAGCUCGUGCCGUGAGGUGUCGGCUUAAGUGCCAUAACGAGCGCAACCCCCAUCUCCAGUUGCCACCGGGUCGUGCCGGGCACUCUGGAGGGACUGCCAGCGCAAGCUGCGAGGAAGGCGGGGAUGACGUCAAAUCAGCACGGCCCUUACGUCCGGGGCGACACACGUGUUACAAUGGCGGAGAACAGAGGGGAGCCACGUGGCGACACGGAGCCGAUCCCAAAAAUCCGUCUCAGUUCGGAUUGGAGUCUGCAACCCGACUCCAUGAAGCUGGAUUCGCUAGUAAUCGCGCAUCAGCCAUGGCGCGGUGAAUACGUUCCCGGGACACUUGUACACAGCCGCCACGUCCAAGGGGCAGAACUUCUGAUUUAAACCAAUGUCAGGANNCUGAGUCCCCAUUUCAGUUAGANGGCUUAAUUUCUGAGUCUUAGCAGUACUGG
rnacentral:rRNA from 1 species